rnacentral:rRNA from 1 species
UACGGGGGGGGCGAGCGUUGUUCGGAAUUCCUGGGCGUAAAGGGCUCGUAGGCGGCCAACUAAGUCAGACGUGAAAUCCCUCGGCUUAACCGGGGAAUGGCGCGGAAAACUGCGGGGCUUGAGUUCGGGAGAGGGAAGCGGAAUUCCGGGUGUAGCGGUGAAAUGCGUAGAUAUCUGGAGGAACGCCGGUGGCGAAGGCGGCAUCCUGGACCGGCAUUGACGCUGAGGAGCGAAAGCCAGGGGAGCAAACGGG